UACGUAGGUGGCAAGCGUUGUCCGGAUUUACUGGGCGUAAAGGGCGUGCAGGCGGUCUGUUAAGUGCAGGGUGAAAGCUCCCGGCUCAACUGGGAGAGGUCCUUGCAUACUGGCGGACUUGAGGGGGGGUAGAGGAAAGUGGAAUUCCCCGGUGUAGUGGUGAAAUGCGUAGAGAUCGGGAGGAACACCUGUGGCGAAGGCGGCCCCCUGGGCCGGCCCUGACGCUGAGACGCGAAGGCGUGGGGAGCGAACGGG
rnacentral:rRNA from 1 species